rnacentral:rRNA from 1 species
UACGUAGGUGGCAAGCGUUGUCCGGAUUUAUUGGGUUUAAAGGGUGCGUAGGCGGCCCUGUAAGUCAGUGCUGAAAUAUCCCAGCUUAACUGGGAGGGUGGCAUUGAUACUGCGGGGCUAGAGUACAGAUGGGGUAGGCGGAAUUGACGGUGUAGCGGUGAAAUGCUUAGAUAUCGUCAAGAACACCUAUAGCGAAGGCAGCUUACUAGGCUGUAACUGACGCUGAGGCACGAAAGUGUGGGGAUCAAACAGG